rnacentral:rRNA from 1 species
GACGAACGCUGGCGGCGUGCUUAACACAUGCAAGUCGAGCGGAAAGGCCUCUUCGGGGGUACUCGAGCGGCGAACGGGUGAGUAACACGUGAGUAAUCUGCCCUUCACUCUGGGAUAGCCACCGGAAACGGUGAUUAAUACCGGAUACGACACGUCCAGGCAUCUGGUGCGUGUGGAAACUUUUUGGGUGGGGGAUGUGCUCGCGGCCUAUCAGCUUGUUGGUGGGGUAAUGGCCUACCAAGGCUUCGACGGGUAGCCGGCCUGGGAGGGUGAACGGCCAGACUGGGAAUGAGACAAGGCCCAGACUGCUACGGGAGGCAGCAGUGGGGAAUAUUGGACAAUGGGCGGAAGCCUGACCCAGCAAGGCCGCGUGAGGGAUGACGGCCUUCGGGUUGUAAACCUCUCUCAGCACCGACGAAGCGAUCCUUUUGGGGAGUGACGGUAGGUACAGAAGAAGGACCGGCCAACUACGUGCCAGCCGCCGCGGUAAGAC